rnacentral:rRNA from 1 species
UACGUAGGGUGCGAGCGUUGUCCGGAAUUAUUGGGCGUAAAGAGCUCGUAGGUGGUUUGUCGCGUCGUCUGUGAAAUUCCGGGGCUUAACCUCGGGCGUGCAGGCGAUACGGGCAAUACUUGAGUGCUGUAGGGGAGACUGGAAUUCCUGGUGUAGCGGUGAAAUGCGCAGAUAUCAGGAGGAACACCAAUGGCGAAGGCAGGUCUCUGGGCAGUUACUGACGCUGAGGAGCGAAAGCAUGGGUAGCAAACAGGGAUUA